rnacentral:tRNA from 1 species
GGAGGAAUUGGUAGCUCUGUGGUAGAGUGCAUGCUUUGUAUGUAUGAUGUCCUGGGUUCAAUCCCCAGUUUCUCCC